rnacentral:lncRNA from 1 species
AUGCCGCAGCCCGCACUUGCCAGACGCUCUGCGUGGACGGCGGCCAAAGGACGGUCGGUGAAAUCCUUCCCCAGCCAAGCGGAGCGAGGGCGAGAGGAUGGGGCCCGAGGAGGCCGCGGGGGGGCUGGCGGUGAUGCUCCCAUGGUCGCUAGGGUUCGGCUGAUGCUGGCUCGCGGGGUCACGCCGCGCACACGACCUAGGAAUCCAGAUCCGAGGUCACAGAGAAAAGAACGAGUUUUUGUGGGGGUUUUGGCUUGGAUGACAAAAUGCCUCGCGGUCACCCCCACCAUUUCCUCUUUGGACGCCCCCCACCCGCCUUCCGAAGGGUUCAGUGGGGUCCCGUGCGCAGACCUCAAGACCUUGGGCUGUAAAGACGUGCCUCCAAGUCGGCCUUCGCCUGACGUCCCCGCGGUGGGCAUUGGCCGUGCCUGGAGCCGGCCCUCGGGGACUCGCUCCCCGGUGGUUGGAGCUCAGGGGUGUCUCAUGUGUGUCCCACGGCCCCGGACGUCCAGGUGCAGCGGCCAUCGGAGGAGGAGAAGCACCCGGCAGGCAGAUGCCAGCGGGCUGGCCCCCGAGGCCGGGCACAGGCGAGGGAUGGGGCGGGAUUCAGAGCGAGCGACAGGGCGACAGGGAGAGACCGGCUUGGCAGGGUGGGCCUCACUGCCCUGGGAAGAUGCCGGCAGGCAGGAGGAGGAUGUCCCCGGCGACCCCUGCUUGGUGUGUCCUGGUAGGUGGGACGCGUGGGGGAGGCACGGCCCCUGGCAGGUGCCCAAGGAGCCACCGGAAGGCCCAGCGUGUGCAAGGAGCUGGCAGGGGCCCGUGCGUCCCACUGGGUCUGUCCCCACAGCUCCGUCAGCUCGAGGCCUUGAGGUCACGGUGACGUGCUCCCUGCUGAGGGACGGCAGGCGGGGAAAGGGGGCGGGGCAGGGCCGAAGCCCGGGCCCCUGGCGGGGUGCUGCAGCCCGGCCUGGAGCUUGGGGGAGGCGCCCGGAGGGGGUGGAUCCUGGGGGCGCCUAG